rnacentral:rRNA from 1 species
GACGAACGCUGGCGGCGUGCUUAACACAUGCAAGUCGAACGGAAAGGCCCUGCUUUUGUGGGGUGCUCGAGUGGCGAACGGGUGAGUAACACGUGAGUAACCUGCCCUUGACUUUGGGAUAACUUCAGGAAACUGGGGCUAAUACCGGAUAGGAGCUCCUGCUGCAUGGUGGGGGUUGGAAAGUUUCGGCGGUUGGGGAUGGACUCGCGGCUUAUCAGCUUGUUGGUGGGGUAGUGGCUUACCAAGGCUUUGACGGGUAGCCGGCCUGAGAGGGUGACCGGCCACAUUGGGACUGAGAUACGGCCCAGACUCCUACGGGAGGCAGCAGUGGGGAAUAUUGCACAAUGGGCGGAAGCCUGAUGCAGCAACGCCGCGUGCGGGAUGACGGCCUUCGGGGUGGAAACCGCUUUCGCCUGGGACGAAGGGGGAGUGACGGUAAUGGGUAAAGAAGCACCGGCUAACUACGUG